rnacentral:rRNA from 1 species
AUUGAACGCUGGCGGCAGGCUUAACACAUGCAAGUCGAGCGGGGUGAUGGUGCUUGCACUAUCACUUAGCGGCGGACGGGUGAGUAAUGCUUAGGAAUCUGCCUAUUAGUGGGGGACAACAUCUCGAAAGGGAUGCUAAUACCGCAUACGUCCUACGGGAGAAAGCAGGGGAUCACUUGUGACCUUGCGCUAAUAGAUGAGCCUAAGUCGGAUUAGCUAGUUGGUGGGGUAAAGGCCUACCAAGGCGACGAUCUGUAGCGGGUCUGGGAGGAUGAUCCGCCACGUUGGGACUGAGACACGGCCCAGACUCCUACGGGAGACAGCAGUGGGGAAUAUUGGGCAAUGGGGGGAACCCUGAUCCAGCCAUGCCGCGUGUGUGAAGAAGGCCUUAUGGUUGUAAAGCACUUUAAGCGAGGAGGAGGCUCUUUUGGUUAAUACCCAAGAUGAGUGGACGUUACUCGCAGAAUAAGCACCGGCUAACUCUGUGCCAGCAGCCGCAGUAA